CGUUGAUGUUGGGCGCGGCCGGGAUCGCCGGCCGCGCACGCCGGCAUGCCGGCUUACUUGAGGAAUUCCUUGACGUUCGACGCGUCGACGAGCGUC
rnacentral:tRNA from 1 species